UGACCCCAUGCCGAACUCAGAAGUGAAACGCCGAAGUGCCGAUGGUAGUGUGGGUAUUACCCAUGUGAGAGUAGGGAGCCGCCAGAC
rnacentral:rRNA from 1 species